GAUGAACGCUGGCGGCGUGCCUAAUACAUGCAAGUCGAGCGAACGGACGAGAAGCUUGCUUCUCUGAUGUUAGCGGCGGACGGGUGAGUAACACGUGGAUAACCUACCUAUAAGACUGGGAUAACUUCGGGAAACCGGAGCUAAUACCGGAUAAUAUUUUGAACCGCAUGGUUCAAAAGUGAAAGACGGUCUUGCUGUCACUUAUAGAUGGAUCCGCGCUGCAUUAGCUAGUUGGUAAGGUAACGGCUUACCAAGGCAACGAUGCAUAGCAGACCUGAGAGGGUGAUCGGCCACACUGGAACUGAGACACGGUCCAGACUCCUACGGGAGGCAGCAGUAGGGAAUCUUCCGCAAUGGGCGAAAGCCUGACGGAGCAACGCCGCGUGAGUGAUGAAGGUCUUCGGAUCGUAAAACUCUGUUAUUAGGGAAGAACAUAUGUGUAAGUAACUGUGCACAUCCUGACGGUACCUAAUCAGAAAGCCACGGCUAACUACGUG
rnacentral:rRNA from 1 species